AACAUAGAUGAGUGAAUGUAGAUUGAGUCAUGAUAGUCUUUGGUUUAGGGUUCGUGUACAUUAAACAUUUUUUUAAGUUGAUAUUAUAAGUUUAAUAAAGUAUUUUUGGUGAUUUAGUUAGUUAUUUGAUUAUAGGUUUAGAAGACUUCCCAAGAAAUCUUCUAACAUAUAAUGCACUAGAAGACUUCACAACAAAGUCUACUAUUUCUCACUUAAAUUUUAGUAGAAUUUAGGUUUGCCGCCUAAUAAUUAAUUUAGAAAUUUAGGUUUCCCGCCUAAUGUGA
rnacentral:lncRNA from 1 species